AUUGAACGCUGGCGGCAGGCUUAACACAUGCAAGUCGAACGAGUGGCGGACGGGUGAGUAAUGUCUGGGAAACUGCCUGAUGGAGGGGGAUCACUACUGGAAACGGUAGCUAAUACCGCAUACCAUCAGAUGUGCCCAGCGGGGAUUAGCUAGUAGGUGGGGGAAUGGCUCACCUAGGCGACGAUCCCUAGCUGGUCUGAGAGGAUGCCCAGCACGACUGGAACUGAGACACGGUCCAGACGCCUACGGGAGGCAGCAGUGGGGAAGAUUGCACAAUGGGCGCUAGCCUGACGUAGGCAUGCCGCGCGUGUGAAGAAGGCCUUCGGGUUGUAAAGCACGUUCAGCGAGGAGGCGUUCCUCGCUGAAGAUGCACCGGCUAACUCCGUGCCAGCAGCCGCGGUAAUUC
rnacentral:rRNA from 1 species